rnacentral:rRNA from 1 species
AGAGUUUGAUUCCUGGCUCAGAACGAACGCUGGCGGCGUGCCUCAUACAUGCAAGUCGAGCGAGAAUCUCAAGCCCCGGCUUGCCGGGAUUUGAGAGGAAAGCGGCGAACGGGUGAGUAACACGUGGGCCAUCUGCCCAGAAGUUCGGGAUAAGCCCUCGAAAGGGGGUCUAAUACCGGAUAACAUCCCGGGGGGGCCUCUUCCUGGGAUCAAAGGCGGCGUAAGCCACCGCUUCUGGAGGGGCCCGCGGCCUAUUAGCUUGUUGGUGAGGUAACGGCUCACCAAGGCGACGAUGGGUAGCCGGCCUGAGAGGGUGUCCGGCCACACUGGGACUGAGAUACGGCCCAGACUCCUACGGGAGGCAGCAGUAGGGAAUCUUGCGCAAUGGCCUAACGGCUGACGCAGCGACGCCGCGUGGGCGAUGAAGCUUCUUGGAGUGUAAAGCCCUGUCAGGAGGGAAGAACGUUCUGCCUAUGGCGGAAUUGACGGUACCUCCAGAGGAAGCCCCGGCUAACUCCGUGCCAGCAGCCGCGGUAAUACGGAGGGGGCGAGCGUUGUUCGGAAUCACUGGGCGUAAAGGGUGCGCAGGCGGAUCGGCCAGUCGAAUGUGAAACCUUCGGGCUCAACCCGGAGCCUGCAUCCGAAACUGCCGAUCUUGAGUACGGGGGAGGGAAGUGGAAUCUCAGGUGUAGCGGUGAAAUGCAUAGAUAUCUGAGAGAACACCGGUGGCGAACGCGGCUUCCUGACCCGAUACUGACGCUCAUGCACGAAAUGCUAUGGGAGCAAACAGGAUUAGAUACCCUGGUAGUCCUAACGGUAAACGAUGGGCACUACGUGUUGGAGGUAUCGACCCCUUCAGCGCCGUAGCUAACGUAUUAAGUGCCCCGCCUGGGGAGUACGACCGCAAGGUUGAAACUCAAAGGAAUUGACGGGGGCCCGCACAGCAGUGCAGCAUGUGUUUGGUUCGACGCUACGCGAAGAAUCUUACCUGGCUGACAUCUGCGGAAGUCCCGAGUACCCGGACCCUCUCGGAGUCGGUAGACAGGUGCUGCAUGCCUGUCGUCAGCUCGUGACAUGCAAGAUGUUGGUUAGUCCGGCAAGCAGUCGCUGCCCUGCUAGUUACCAAUUGCCCUUCGGAAUCUUCUUAGUCCGCAGGGGGGGAACUCUA